rfam:Desulfuromonas sp. SDB scaffold-11080, whole genome shotgun sequence.
UGGGGCGUCGGCAAGUGGCAAGCCUCGGGAUUUUGGAUCCCGCAUUCGGUGGUUCGAAUCCACCCGCCCCAG